rnacentral:lncRNA from 1 species
GGCCUGUAUUCAAUGAACACUUCUAAUGUUAACAGGUGUGGACCGUCAGGAGCUUGUCUCUCCCUGGGUGCCGAAUUAUUAUUAUUAUUAUUAUUUGAGAGGAAGUCUCACUCUGUCGCCCAGGCUGGAGUGCAGUGGCAGGGUCUCGGCUCACUGCAAGCUCAGCCUCCCGGGUUCACGCCAUUCUCCUGCCUCAGCCUCCUGAGUAGCUGGGAUUACAGGCGCCCGCCACCGCGCCCGGCUAAUUUUUUUUUUGUAUUUUUAGUAGAGACGGGGUUUCACCGUGGUCUCGAUCCCCUGACCUUGUGAUCCGCCCGCCUCGGCCUCCCAAAGUGCUGGGAUUACAGGCAUGAGCCACCGCGCCCGGCCGCCGAAUUAUUAUUUUUAGAGAGGCAAUGCGAAAAUUGCCAAACCAUCGCCCCACAUUUUUAUUGGUUUGGGGAGAGCCCUCUCCUGCCCUGCUCAUGCCUAGCUAACUACCUUUAACAAAAUGACUGGCUUAAUAGGUGCUUAGUUCUUUGGAUUUGAAGGAAUUUCUGAUGGCUCAUGGAUUGAGAUUUAAUAUAUCGUAGGGAUAAAAAAGAGACUAUGAAAACGUAACAAUUAGAUGGACAAAACACUGUUCCACAUAACCUUGUUUUUCUAUUAUGGAAAUGUUUUGUAAUGAUAUUUAAUAUAUGUGACAAAAU